rnacentral:rRNA from 1 species
CGGCGGACGGGUGAGUAACACGUGGGUAACCUACCUAUAAGACUGGGAUAACUCCGGGAAACCGGGGCUAAUACCGGAUAAUAUUUUGAACCGCAUGGUUCGAUAGUGAAAGACGGUUUCGGCUGUCACUUAUAGAUGGACCCGCGCCGUAUUAGCUAGUUGGUAAGGUAACGGCUUACCAAGGCGACGAUACGUAGCCGACCUGAGAGGGUGAUCGGCCACACUGGAA